AUCCAGACUCCUACGGGAGGCAGCAGUGGGGGAUAUUGCACAAUGGGGGAAACCCUGAUGCAGCGACGCCGCGUGAGUGAAGAAGUAUUUCGGUAUGUAAAGCUCUAUCAGCAGGGAAGAAAAAAGACGGUACCUGACUAAGAAGCCCCGGCUAACUACGUGCCAGCAGCCGCGGUAAUACGUGGGGGGCAAGCGUUAUCCGGAUUUACUGGGUGUAAAGGGAGCGUAGACGGCGUGCCAAGUCUGAUGUGAAAGGCCGGGGCUCAACCCCGGGACUGCAUUGGAAACUGGCAUGCUGGAGUGCCGGAGGGGCAAGCGGAAUUCCUAGUGUAGCGGUGAAAUGCGUAGAUAUUAGGAGGAACACCAGUGGCGAAGGCGGCUUACUGGACCGUAACUGACGUUGAGGCUCGAAAGCGUGGGGAGCAAACAGGAUUAGAUACCCCUGUAU
rnacentral:rRNA from 1 species